rnacentral:misc_RNA from 1 species
CUCAAGGUCUCAGUAAUGGCUGAAUCAACGAAGAACCAAACAGAAAUGGUGGAAAAAGAAGAUUACAUGGGAGACCUCUCUCAACUCCUUCCUCAUGAAGCCUCCAACUCUUCUACAUUCUCUGCCAAAGAGGUCAGCGUGGGAUUCAGUAAUAAUCCUCGAGAGCAUUUGUUUACUCUCUUUCUGAUUAGGCGACCUAGGCAGAGAGUGAUCAUCGUCAUUUGUGCAGAUUUCAAGCGACAAAACCUCAGCUGUUCAAUUAUCCAAGAAGAAGUCCAAAACCCUCAGCUGGCAAGAACAGCGGAGACUUGAAAGAAAGAAUAACCAACAAGAAGAGGAUGGACAAAAUAGGGGUUCCAAUUCCACAAUCUAACAUUGGGAUUGUUAAAGCAAAUGGGUUAUACCCCUGGUUCAACCUUUGGCAAGGGGAGCUCAGGAAGAGCUGAGCUAGUGGGGAUUGAGAUUCGGUGGACAUGAGUUGGGAUUGGAAUGGAGAACCACACAAGGAAAAGAGGAAGACAGAGUAGCUUGAGGCUGAGAAGAAGAAAAGGAAGGAAGAGGCUUUGAUGGCAGAGUUGGAUCUAGGCAAAAGUCACAAUGGUGUAGUAGGAGGGUUGUAGUAAAUUUCUUAAAAGCAAAAGCAGCUCUUGACCAAUUGGAGAACAAAGAAGUUGAGGAAAAAAAGAAUGAGGAGGAGGAGGAGGAGGCUGAACAGGAGGAGGAAGAGAUAACUGAGGAGGAUUUGCAAGAAAUAUUGAUAAAGUUGAGAGGUGAAUAUAGAUACUGCCUGUUUUGCGGAUUUCAGUAUGAAACAAUGGAAGCGCUUCUAUCCAACUGCCCUGGAACAGAUGAAGAUGACCACUAGACUAUAUUUAUCUCUCAGCUUUAUCAAUAUUAGUUGGAUAAACAUUGCUUCCAUCCAACUAAGAUGCCACCGAGAUACAAACUCGUUAAUGAGAUUUGGAAGUUAUGUGGGUAUACUUUUGCUUCCAUUUUCUCAUAUUUGCAGCGGGGUGGAAUUUCUGUUAUUUUGCUUUCUAGAGAGGAUGUGAAGAAAAAAGUAGGAAGGUGACGAGUCAUUUUCGUCUAUGAGAUCACAUGUUGCUGUUGGGAUUUACAUCCAUGGUAAAUCAUUUAAACAAUUCUUAUAGGCUCUUCCAUGCUGACGGAUAGAUAGCUGCACCAUCUUCAUCUUUAUCCAAUUACAUUGAGACAGAUAUCAUGCUGUGAAAUCAUAUGGAACUGAAGUUGCUUCAAUCAUCAUUAGAAAUGCGCAUAUCAUUAUUAGAAUAGUGAGGUACAAUAACAAUUCAAAGAGAAGCAAUAUUUUGAUGAUAUUGUUCAGGAUGUUUGUUGUUGCACUCUAUGUUGUUAAUAACUUAAUAUAACCACCCCACCCUGAUUGCCUUGUCAAAUGCAAUCUUGACUCGAGAAAGUUGCCUGCACCAUAACCUCUU